rnacentral:misc_RNA from 1 species
UUCCGGCGGUUUAGUUGUCGCUCACCCGUUGUGAGGGUAUGUUGUGUUCAACGUCAGUGCAUUGACAAUUCGAGGCCAACAACCUUCAUCUUUUCGCAGAGCCGAAAGUUCUAAGUGAUUUGUGACUGUUUUUAUUGUUACCCAGUGAGUUUUAAUUGAUAAAAGGGUGGAUAUUAUUUAAGUGCAUGGUGAUGGUACUAUUUUCUCUAAUUUGGAUUAAGUCGGAACGGUGAAAAAUUUCGUGUAUGGAUGUGGAAUGAGGGCGGCGACCCAGUGGGAUCAGGUGGCAUGGACUGCCUGCAGCUGCGCCAACCAGCAGGCCCGUUUCAUUACCUCAUCAGCGAACAGGCCAAGUCUCUGGUCGCCCUUCAAGAACUUCAGCAUGAGGUGGGGGCCCUCCUGGAGUUCCGCGAUCUCGUCAUCGAGACUUUUCCAAACCUCCGAAGUAAGAUGGCGUCCUCCACCCCGGCGACGAUGACCUCACACCAUUCCAACAUUCCCGUAUCGAUAAGACCAGGAGAUUGGACACCGGGGAUAAGAGUGAGGAAGAAAAUUGGCAGUAAGGACGAUAGGAAGAAAGGAGGAGAUACGGCGGUGCAAGAUUCGGGAUUCAGUACCGAAACUUCGAGCAAGGAAACACAUAGCGCUUCAUCUACUGCGUUGGCAACAUCUUCAUCUGCAGCUGGUGCGAUAGAGUCUGACGAAGUCGAAGACGAACUUUGGAACCUUCUAGACAUCAUUCACCGCAAAGGAACCCGUUUAAAAGAUGAAGCCGAAGUCCUGCAAGGCACUCUCCGCGAACAAGCUAUGCAUAAAGACGAACAAGAUGGAGGUGGUUCGUUUCAGCAAGUUAUUUUUUCUUCCUCUUGUCCGACAUCAUCAACAGACGUGCGAAAACUGCGUCAGGAGCGCGAUCUACUCCUGGAUCGGUUGGCAGAGAUGGAGGCUGAAGUGCUGGCCGGGAGAGUGCAUACUUCAAGAUUGCAAGAGGAUUUAGAGCAUUUGUUGACGACGAAGCUUGAUUUGGAGGAGCAGCUCAAAGCGGUUGUUACACAAAGAGGUGAAGUGAAUUCGCGUAUUCACGAUUUGCAUCUUCAAUUUGUGACUAAAAGUGGAAGCGUUUCGCCGUCGGAAAGUAGCAAGCUCCGUAGAGACUCGACGUCAUCGACGACGGCGAUAUCUAGUCAUCAACGGACAAGUCAAAAUAGUGUUUGUGAUCUUGACUCAGUGCUCAGUGAUAAAAUACCAAAAGUAGCAGUGCCGGAUACGAAAAAAAUACGCGCCAUUUUAAAAGAACACGACUCUUUGGUGCUGCAAAAGCAUCUGUUGACGUCUACAGUACGAAAUCAGCUCCUUCAAGAACAGCUAGAAUCGGCAUCUAGUAUCGAAAUGGAACUCACGGAGAGGUUACAUAAAUUUAAAGAAGAAUACGACGAGUUAAAAUUUCAGCUGGAAGACAAAACUAUUGAAUUAGAGGGCACCAGAGCACGAAUCCGUCUCCUAGAAGAUCUCCAAAAACCUUUAACGAAAAGCAGCUCACCUGAUAUCAUUCCAACUUUAGAGUCAACACCUCCCGGUCGACCGCCUUCCAGGACUGAAAUAUCCACACCUAGUAUGAAGGCCAUGAGUCCCCUUAUCAUGAACAACAUGAAAGCGAUGACUCUGAACCUUCAAACAGAUCAUUCGAGUAGCACGGAAUCUGCGCACGAUCAGUCCACGGAGAAAGAGAAGAAGGACAGUUCGAGGACGAGACGGCCGAGUAAGAUACCUUUGAAGAGUUACACUGCGCCAAAACCUCCGGGAGGUAAACACAGCCCAGCACCAUCCAGCACUCGUAGCCGUAGCGGCGAUUCACCAGGUAGACCACAUUCGGCACAAUCGUGGCGGCCGAAGAGCGAGUCCAACAAGUCCGAAGGCAACAGCCUCAACUCCAAAUCCAACUCCCUUUCCAAAUCGAGGAACAGCUCCCUCGUGACGACCAAGGACUCCUUGUCCGGAAAGCUGAGAUCCAGUGAGUCGUUCCAGAAGUUGAACGGCAGCAACACGUUCGGAAGGAGCGUUCAGAAGAAAAACCUCGGCGGUACUGUCGUCAAGAAGGAAAAUAGCGUGAGUGAUAAGGUACGCACCAAAACUACGACCAGCAUUAUCUGGAGUUUCUUCAGACGUGAUUAGGAGCUGAGGCUGCCAUUUUUUUUAGUUACGCUCUCGGCCUUCAUUGUUAGGGAUAAGUGCAAUUCAAGACUCAAACCUAGCAAAAGAAAAAUCUCCGUCUCAAUGGAUUCUCUCUUCAUAUAGUAGCGACCCGGGCCUAGAUCCAGAUCUCGAGCUGGCGUUCCCGGACUCAUUGGACAAAAACAAUUACGUUCAACAGUCCGUCACCGAUAGUUCCACGAGCUUCCGCUUCCACACCGCCAAUACCUUCAUGUGGAAUACGGGCCGCGCCCGGGCCGACGACGAAUUCUACGAUAGCAUAGACACCGAC